UACGUAGGGUGCGAGCGUUGUCCGGAAUUAUUGGGCGUAAAGAGCUCGUAGGCGGUCUGUCGCGUCGGUCGUGAAAACUUGGGGCUUAACCCUGAGCUUGCGGUCGAUACGGGCAUGACUGGAGUUCGGCAGGGGAGACUGGAAUUCCUGGUGUAGCGGUGAAAUGCGCAGAUAUCGGGAAGAACACCAAUAGCGAAGGCAGCUCGCUGGGACGUUACUGACGCUGAGGCGCGAAAGCGUGGGGAGCGAACAGG
rnacentral:rRNA from 1 species